rnacentral:rRNA from 1 species
UCGGGUUGUAAAGCACUUUUGUCCGGAAAGAAAACUUCUGUCCUAAUACGGCGGGGGGAUGACGGUACCGGAAGAAUAAGCACCGGCUAACUACGUGCCAGCAGCGCGGUAAUCGUAGGGUGCGAGCGUUAAUCGGAAUUACUGGGCGUAAAGCGUGCGCAGGCGGUUCGUUAAGACAGAUGUGAAAUCCCCAGGCUUAACCUGGGAACUGCAUUUGUGACUGGCGGGCUAGAGUAUGGCAGAGGGGGGUAGAAUUCCACGUGUAGCAGUGAAAUGCGUAGAGAUGUGGAGGAAUACCGAUGGCGAAGGCAGCCCCCUGGGCCAAUACUGACGCUCAUGCACGAAAGCGUGGGGAGCAAACAGGAUUAGAUACCCUGGUAGUCCACGCCCUAAACGAUGUCAACUAGUUGUCGGGUCUUCAUUGACUUGGUAACGUAGCUAACGCGUGAAGUUGACCGCCUGGGGAGUACGGUCGCAAGAUUAAAACUCAAAGGAAUUGACGGGGACCCGCACAAGCGGUGGAUGAUGUGGAUUAAUUCGAUGCAACGCGAAAAACCUUACCUACCCUUGACAUGGACGGAGCCUGGCUG